GAUGAACGCUGGCGGCGUGCUUGACACAUGCAAGUCGAACGGUAUGUGGCAACACAUAGAGUGGCGAACGGGUGAGUAACACGUGGGAACGUAUCUUUUGCAGGGGGAUAACUGACCGAAAGGACAGCUAAUACCGCAUAAGUCCGGGAGGAGAAAGGUGCAAAAGCAUCGGCAGAAGAGCGGCCCGCGGUCCAUCAGCUAGUUGGUGAGGUAAGGGCUUACCAAGGCGACGACGGAUAGCCGGCGUGAGAGCGUGGCCGGCCACAAGGACACUGAGAUACGGGUCCU
rnacentral:rRNA from 1 species